GACGAACGCUGGCGGCGUGCCUAAUACAUGCAAGUUGAGCGCUGAAGGUUGGUACUUGUACCAACUGGAUGAGCAGCGAACGGGUGAGUAACGCGUGGGGAAUCUGCCUUUGGGCGGGGGACAACAUUUGGAAACGAAUGCUAAUACCGCAUAAAAACUUUAAACACAAGUUUUAAGUUUGAAAGAUGCAAUUGCAUCACUCAAAGAUGAUCCCGCGUUGUAUUAGCUAGUUGGUGAGGUAAAGGCUCACCAAGGCGAUGAUACAUAGCCGACCUGAGAGGGUGAUCGGCCACAUUGGGACUGAGACACGGCCCAAACUCCUACGGGAGGCAGCAGUAGGGAAUCUUCGGCAAUGGACGAAAGUCUGACCGAGCAACGCCGCGUGAGUGAAGAAGGGUUUCGGAUCGUAAAACUCUGUUGGUAGAGAAGAACGUUGGUGAGAGUGGAAAGCUCAUCAAGUGACGGUAACUACCCAGAAAGGGACGGCUAACUACGUG
rnacentral:rRNA from 1 species